CUCCGACUUCAUGGGGUCGAGUUGCAGACCCCAAUCCGAACUGAGACCGGCUUUUUGGGAUUCGUUCCACCUUACGGUAUCGCAGCCCUCUGUACCGGCCAUUGUAGCAUGCGUGAAGCCCAAGACAUAAGGGGCAUGAUGAUUUGACGUCAUCCCCACCUUCCUCCGAGUUGACCCCGGCAGUCUCCCAUGAGUCCCCGGCAUAACCCGCUGGCAACAUAGGACGAGGGUUGCGCUCGUUGCGGGACUUAACCCAACAUCUCACGACACGAGCUGACGACAACCAUGCACCACCUGUGUACGAGUGUCCAAAGAGAACCCCGUCUCGGGGGCUUUCUCGUACAUGUCAAGCCUUGGUAAGGUUCUUCGCGUUGCAUCGAAUUAAUCCGCAUGCUCCGCCGCUUGUGCGGGCCCCCGUCAAUUCCUUUGAGUUUUAGCCUUGCGGCCGUACUCCCCAGGCGGGGCACUUAAUGCGUUAGCUGCGGCACGGAACUCGUGGAAUGAGCCCCACACCUAGUGCCCAACGUUUACGGCAUGGACUACCAGGGUAUCUAAUCCUGUUCGCUCCCCAUGCUUUCGCUCCUCAGCGUCGGUUGCGGCCCAGAGACCUGCCUUCGCCAUCGGUGUUCCUCCUGAUAUCUGCGCAUUCCACCGCUACACCAGGAAUUCCAGUCUCCCCUACCGCACUCUAGUCUGCCCGUACCCGAUGCAAGCCCGAGGUUGAGCCUCGGGAUUUCACACCAGACGCGACAGACCGCCUACGAGCUCUUUACGCCCAAUAAUUCCGGACAACGCUUGCGCCCUACGUAUUACCGCGGCUGCUGGCACGUAGUUAGCCGGCGCUUCUUCUGCAGGUACCGUCACUUGCGCUUCUUCCCUGCUAAAAGAGGUUUACAACCCGAAGGCCGUCAUCCCUCACGCGGCGUCGCUGCAUCAGGCUUGCGCCCAUUGUGCAAUAUUCCCCACUGCUGCCUCCCGUAGGAGUCUGGGCCGUGUCUCAGUCCCAGUGUGGCCGGUCGCCCUCUCAGGCCGGCUACCCGUCGACGCCUUGGUAGGCCAUCACCCCACCAACAAGCUGAUAGGCCGCGAGCCCAUCCCCCACCGAAAAACUUUCCAACCCACACCAUGCGAUGCGAGCUCAUAUCCGGUAUUAGACCCCGUUUCCAAGGCUUAUCCCGAAGUGGAGGGCAGGUUGCUCACGUGUUACUCACCCGUUCGCCACUGAUCCACCCAGCAAGCUGGGCUUCACC
rnacentral:rRNA from 1 species